GCUGCAUUAUCUCAUUUGGUAGAGCAUCAGAUUCUUAAUCUGAGGGUUGUGGGUUUGAUACCUGCCCAUGACAGCC